GGGAGGGGAGGGGAGGUCGCGGUGUCGGGGUCGCUCGGUCAAUGUGGAGCUCCGUCAGGCCGCACCUGUCCUGCCGCCUCCCGUCUCUGGGCACCGGCUGCCUCCGGCUGGCCGCCCGGGAUGGUCGGGCCUCUGGAUGCCGCUUGGCCGCGGGUAAGGCGUGUGGACACAGUCCCCGCUCAGGCCCGGCGGCCGCUCCCGGCCCCGUCUUCAUCACCACCCCCAUCUUCUACGUGAAUGCGGCUCCUCACAUCGGCCAUCUGUACUCGGCGGUGCUGGCCGACGCCAUGUAUCGGCUCAAGCUCUUACUGGGGACCGACGCAAAGUUCACAACAGGGACAGAUGAACAUGGCCUGAAGAUUCAACAAGCUGCAGAUGCAGCAGCUAAAAACCCAUUGGAGUUCUGUGCCAGCGUGUCUGAGGAGUUCAAGAAACUGUUCCACAAGUCCCUGGUUUCAUAUACAGAUUACAUUCGAACAACAGAGGAGCGUCACAAAACUGCAGUCCAAUAUUUUUGGUGUGUUCUGCGUGACAAGGGCUACCUCUACCAAGCAGCAUACGAGGGCUGGUAUUCCACUCCAGAUGAGACUUUCCUUUCUGAUUCACAAGUUUUAGAAAGAAAAGACACAAAUGGGAACAUUAUUAAAGUAUCUUUGGAAAGUGGUCACAAGGUAGAAUGGACUAAAGAAGAAAAUUACUUGUUCAAAUUGUCUGAGUUUAAACCCAAGUUGUUAGAGUGGUUAAAGAAGAACCCAGAAGUAAUAAUCCCUGAAAAAUUCUAUCACAUUGUUCUCCACUGGCUUCAGGAAGAAAUACCAGAUAUAUCUGUAUCACGACGAAGGAGCCGUUUGAAGUGGGGUAUUCCAGUUCCUGCGGAUUCAACACAAACAAUUUAUGUGUGGUUAGAUGCUUUAGUUAAUUACUUGACUGUAGCAGGUUAUCCAGAGGAUCAAAAUCUGCCUGCCCUACAUCACAUUAUUGGGAAGGAUAUUCUCAAGUUCCAUGCCAUCUAUUGGCCUGCUUUCCUGAUGGCAGCUGGUUUGCAGCUACCAAAACAAAUCUAUGUUCACUCCCAUUGGACAGUCAAUGGCCAAAAAAUGUCCAAGAGUCGUGGAAAUGUUGUUGACCCAAUGGAAAGAUUUUCUGUAUACACUGUUGAUGGUUUCAGAUAUUUUUUGCUGCGGCAAGGUGUGCCAGAUGCGGACUGUGACUAUUAUGAUGAUAAAGUGGUGAAAGUUUUAAAUGCAGACCUUGCAGAUUCAUUGGGAGGUCUCCUUAACCGUUGUACAGGCACAAGCAUAAAUCCUGAUCAAAUUUACACAACAUUUUUCAAUCACUGCUUUCCUGAAAGACGGCCUGAAGACAACAGCCCCCUGAAAAGCAGAGCAACAACUGAAGAUUAUAAAAUGAUUCAGACAGUUGAGCAACUACCGAUGAAUGUUAAGGACAGCUUCGAAAAUCUACAAAUUUAUAAGGCCUUAGAAGCCAUUAAUUUUUGUGUUCGAUUAACAAAUGGCUUUUUCCAAAGACACACUCCGUGGAAACUUGAUGGAAAAAUUGCUGAGGAUUGCUGCUGGCUGGAAACAGUACUUCACAUUACUUUAGAGUGCCUACGCAUUUAUGGGAUCUUAUUGCAACCAGUGGUCCCAACAAUUGCAAAUCAACUGCUUUCACGGUUAGCUGUUGGCCCACAUGAACGAGACUGGGAACAUUUGAACUUCUUGGCCAGAUACCACAAUAAUAUUUGCAUAUUUGAAGGAAGAAAGUUAGGUCCAGAUACAGGAAUCUUGUUUAACAGAUUGGAGAGGAUACAUAAAGCUCCAAGCAAAACUCGAGGCAAUCAGGAGAUAAAGUUGCAACAUAUUCUGAAGUAAAUCUGAGAUGUUAAGUCACUCACCGUCCUGUGUGAAUAAUGAAUCCUGAAGAUAUUGUAAUGACAUCAGCUCUAACCCGAAAAAUUUAUGAACAUUGGUUUAUGACUGCUACAGGCUACAUGUAACUGACCUGUAUGAAUUCAUCUUUAAGUCUGAUAUAAUUUCAUUUACAAACUGUUCUUAAUAUCUAACCACCUAUAGCAGUAAUGUAUUUUUGUACAGAAUCUAAUCUAUUUCUAAACCAAAUUCAUGCUCUUUGAGUAGCAAUUUAAGUUUUCAGGUUAAUUUAUUUUCUUGUGUCAGAAUAACUGGUAUGUUGUAUGGGAAAAUCAUUCUUUUUUGCUUUUGCUUCCCUCAGUAUGGUCAAGUAUUUGCAGGUUUUUAUUCAUACAGUUUUAUGAAUCUGUCUCUCUUUCUCUGCAACUUAGUAUGGUACAUUUUGGAAAUUGAUUUGCUUCAAAGCUACACUCGCCCUUAGUUAUGGCACAUCUCUAUAAUGCUGCCAUAAUUUUGUCAGUUGUAUCAAAUACUAGACGACCUGUUGGGUCCCAGAUAUCCUCGAGACGUUCAGUUAUUUGAAAUUCCAUCGAUCUCCUGGGUCCUGCUUAGCCAUCCUCCUCUGCUGUACCACUUGUCUGGCCUGUGGCUCUUGUGGGCGUGGCCCUCUUGUGGGCGUGGUCCUGGGUCGCUGGGCCUGCCAGGGCUUUGACUCAAUUCGGUCCUGCGAUUCUGGGGAUUGCAGCGGUUCCAGGUAUUCCAACAUGCCCAUCUGCUGCUGGUCGAAGAUGCACAGCUCAUCAGCGCGGGCCGCUAGCCGGAUGGGAUCCUCGAAGCUCUCCCCCGCGAGCUGCUUGCGGAUAUCUCACGGCAGCUGCUGCAGGUAGGUAAAUUCAAAGCAGAGCUGGUGGUUGCCCAUGAGCGUGAGCAUCUCGCACAUGAGGGCCGAGGACAUCCGGUCGCCGAGCCCGCCCAUGUUAAGGACCUGACAGGCGCGCUGCAUUCGGCUCGGCCCAUUGAUCCGGAAAAGCAGCUCCUUGAAGCCUGUGUACUUACCCACCGCCGGCGGAUUAUCCAGGUAAGGAAUGACCCCGACCGGCCGUCUGCUGGUCAAGGGCGCUUACCACAUAGUGAUAGCGAGUCUCAUCGGUUGUAACACUGUGGAUGUAAAAUUGGGAUUCGGCCUGUCGGCCUGUAAAACCUCGGCUGCGAGGUCCAAAAUGUCAAUUGCUUUAGGAAGACUCUGUUGAGUCCGGCCUCAUCGGCCUUGUUUCCUCAAAAACUAGUCGGACACGAGUUGUGUGCAUUAGACAUGUUUAAUCACUCUAAUACAGCUCCCUACUCCUCCAAGGACACAGGCGUUGCCCGGCCUUAAAUACCAAAUCUGGUACUGACCCCAUGACUAUUGGCCUAAAUUUGGUAUUUGCUGGUCACUUGUGCAGCAUAGAGUGUAAAAGAUUCUAUAACUAGCUGAUAAAAUAUAAUGCCACUAUUUUGAUGCCUCAUUCUUUUUGAUUAAUUCAAGUUGACAAUUUACAAUUCUAGAAGGCAAAGGCUUCAACCCAAUAGCUGGACUCAAUUGUACUCAAAUUAUGAUUAUUUUAAUCUUUAGAAUGAUAAAAACUAUCCACCGGAUGGCGCUCUGAUGGCAGCCUCACCAAGAGUCGGUCCUUUUCGUCUUUGUUAUAUUUAGUGUGUUUUUAAAGCAUGUGUUAAUGUUCUCUGGUUUUAUGUGGGCGGGGUGUCGGGGGAAAUGUUUCUUCAGUCUCUUACCUUGCCGGAGAUGCAAUUGUUUUCCCGGAUUGUAUCUCCAGUCACUCUGCGGCCUAACAUCGUGGAGGGCGAGGCCUUGCUCAGGACUGACUUUGAGCCCCACUGCGGGGCAUGGACUUACCAUCAGAGCCGAUUCCUUGCCUGCGAUUGGUGCGGACUUUAACAUCAAGGAGCUCGCAGUCUUGGGUUGAGACCGACGACGGGAAGCUCCAAAAGCCACACGACGUUCGACUAGCCCCGACCCGGGGUAGAUCGCCCGGCAGUGGAGAAGCUGAGAUCCCCCGACCCCCCCCCCCCGAUGCAGGAGCUUGAUCGCUCCGAUGUGGAGGCCCGCCCCGGCUACGGGAAAGAUCAUCCCAACAACGAAAGGUUAGAGGCCCUCGACCGCUGGAGGUCAAAGGGAGAGAUUGAACUUUUUUUUGCCUUGCAUCACAGUGAGGAAUGCGGCAGAGUCACUGGUGGAUGUUCAUUUUAAAAAGUAUUUUGUGUGUUCUGUUGCUUUUUAUUGGUAUGAUGACUACGGCAAAUCAAAUUAUUUGAACGUUGUAAAAUGUACAUGGCUAAUAAAGUAUGAUUAUGAAAAUUAAGGUCAAUA